UGGGGGAUAUUGCACAAUGGGGGGAACCCUGAUGCAGCGACGCCGCGUGGGUGAAGGAGUGCUUCGGCAUGUAAAGCCCUAUCGGCAGGGAAGAACAUGACGGUACCUGACUAAGAAGCCCCGGCUAACUACGUGCCAGCAGCCGCGGUAAUACGUAGGGGGCGAGCGUUAUCCGGAUUCACUGGGUGUAAAGGGAGCGUAGACGGCCAUGCAAGCCAGGGGUGAAAGCCCGGGGCCCAACCCCGGGACUGCCCUUGGAACUGUCAGGCUAGAGUGCGGGAGGGGCAGGCGGAAUUCCUGGUG
rnacentral:rRNA from 1 species